CUGAACUUAAGCAUAUCAAUAAGCGGAGGAAAAGAAACUAACAAGGAUUCCCCUAGUAGCGGCGAGCGAAGCGGGAAGAGCUCAAAUUUAUAAUCUGGCACCUUCGGUGUCCGAGUUGUAAUCUCUAGAAAUGUUUUCCGCGUUGGACCGCACACAAGUCUGUUGGAAUACAGCGGCAUAGUGGUGAGACCCCCGUAUAUGGUGCGGACGCCCAGCGCUUUGUGAUACAUUUUCGAAGAGUCGAGUUGUUUGGGAAUGCAGCUCAAAUUGGGUGGUAAAUUCCAUCUAAAGCUAAAUAUUGGCGAGAGACCGAUAGCGAACAAGUACCGUGAGGGAAAGAUGAAAAGCACUUUGGAAAGAGAGUUAACAGUACGUGAAAUUGUUGGAAGGGAAACGCUUGAAGUCAGACUUGCUUGCCGAGCAAUCGGUUUGCAGGCCAGCAUCAGUUUUCCGGGAUGGAUAAUGGUA
rnacentral:rRNA from 1 species